rnacentral:rRNA from 1 species
UAUGGAAGGGGCAAGCGUUGUUCGGAAUCAUUGGGCGUAAAGGGCGCGUAGGUGGUUCUGUAUGUCUACCGUGAAAGCGUACGGCUCAACCGUAUUUUGUCGGUGGAAACUGCAGGACUUGAGGCUGGGAGGGGCUGGUGGAAUUCCCUGUGUAGCGGUGAAAUGCGUAGAGAUGGGGGAGAACACUCGUGGCGAAGGCGGCCAGCUAGACCAGUUCUGACACUGAGGCGCGACAGCGUGGGGAGCAAACAGG